UCCACAGUAAAAUUAGCUGAUAUAGAAAGAUACUAUUAUUAUCAUUUGACUAAUGGAUAAAGUGAUGUACAAAGAUAUCAGAUAAAAAUUUCAGAAUCAUACAACUUGGAAACAAGGUAGAGCUGAGAUUCAAACCAACACAAUCUGCCUCCAGAAGUUAGUCAUUCUACUACACUGUCCAGGGCCUUCCAUACACUUUCAUUAAUUCAUUCAUUCAUUCGUUUGUUUGUUCAUCAAGUCUACAUUAAGUACUUAUCAUACACCAAACAACAUGCUAAAUAUUGAUGAUACAAUGAUGAAUAAAAUUGCAUCUUUGCCCUCAAGGGGCUAAUAUUCUAGUACAGGUAAAUUAAACAUACCAACUGAAUAAUUACAAUUGAUAAUUGCCCUAAAAAAAGGCUAUGUAUAAGGAACUAUUGGAGUAGGAAAAAAG
rnacentral:lncRNA from 1 species